rnacentral:rRNA from 1 species
UACGUAGGGUGCGAGCGUUGUCCGGAAUUAUUGGGCGUAAAGGGCUCGUAGGCGGUCUGUCACGUCGGGAGUGAAAACUCAGGGCUUAACCCUGAGCCUGCUUCCGAUACGGGCAGACUAGAGGUAUGCAGGGGAGACCGGAAUUCCUGGUGUAGCGGUGAAAUGCGCAGAUAUCAGGAGGAACACCGGUGGCGAAGGCGGUUCUCUGGGCCUUACCUGACGCUGAGGAGCGAAAGCGUGGGGAGCGAACAGG